GCCGGGUGCGGUGGCAUGUGCCUGUAAUCCAAGUCACUGGGAGGCUGAGGUUGGUGGAUCAAGUGAGCUGAGGAGCUCUGGGCUGCAGCACGCUAUGUCGAACGGGUGUCCACGCUAAGUUCGGUAUCGAUAUGGUGUUCCUGGGGAGCCGGGACCACCAGGUUGUCUAAGGAGGGGUGAACCGGCCCAGGUCGGAAACGAAGCAGGUCAAAUCCCCCGUGCUGUCCAGUAGUGGGAUAAUACCUGUGAGUAGAUGCUGCAGUGCAGCCUUGGCAAAACAUCGAGACCUAAUCUUUU
rnacentral:SRP_RNA from 1 species